UACGAAGGGGGCUAGAGUUGUUCGGAUUUACUGGGCGUAAAGCGCACGUAGGCGGAUUGUUAAGUCAGGGGUGAAAUCCUGGAGCUCAACUCCAGAACUGCCUUUGAUACUGGCAAUCUUGAGUCCGGAAGAGGUGAGUGGAACUCCUAGUGUAGAGGUGGAAUUCGUAGAUAUUAGGAAGAACACCAGUGGCGAAGGCGGCUCACUGGUCCGGUACUGACGCUGAGGUGCGAAAGCGUGGGGAGCAAACAGG
rnacentral:rRNA from 1 species